CCUACGGGUGGCUGCAGUGGGGAAUCUUGCGCAAUGGGCGAAAGCCUGACGCAGCAACGCCGCGUGUGUGAUGAAGGUCUUCGGAUCGUAAAGCACUGUCGGCAGGAACGAAGGUUUGUAGUCUCAAUACGGCUAUAGAUUGACGGUACCUGCAAAGGAAGCACCGGCUAACUCUGUGCCAGCAGCCGCGGUAAUACAGAGGGUGCAAGCGUUGUUCGGAAUCAUUGGGCGUAAAGCGCACGUAGGCGGUUUCUCAAGUCAGGUGUGAAAGCCCC
rnacentral:rRNA from 1 species